GGUCAAGCUAGGAAGGGCACACGGUGGAUGCCUUGGCGUCGAGAGGCGAUGAAGGACGUGGGCAGCUGCGAAAAGCUUCGGGGAGUGGCUAACACACUUUGAUCCGAAGAUAUCCGAAUCGGGAAACCGUCUGGGGUCAUACCCAGAAGUUCAACGCUGAAUUCAUAGGCGUUGGAUAGCCAACCCAGGGAACUGAAACAUCUAAGUACCUGGAGGAAAAGACAUCAACCGAGACUCCCCUAGUAGCGGCGAGCGAACGGGGACUAGCCUAAACCAUACCAAUGUAAGCUUAGGGGCGUUGUUGGUAUGGGGUCGUGGGUCCAGUGGGAGAGCGCCCUAAUGCUCUCACGGAGUUACAAAACCAAACGUUAGAUGAACGAUCUGGAAAGGUCGGCGAUACGAGGUGACAGCCCUGUAGUCGAAAGCGUUUGGUCUCUGCACUGGUACCCGAGUACCACGGGGCACGUGGAAUCCUGUGGGAAUCUGGGAGGACCAUCUUCCAAGGCUAAGUACUACUCGACGACCGAUAGUGAACUAGUACCGUGAGGGAAAGGUGAAAAGCACCCCGGCAAGGGGAGUGAAAUAGUACCUGAAACCGUGUGUCUACAAGCAGUCGAAGCACUAUGCCCUUCGGGGAAUGUGCGACGGCGUACCUUUUGCAUAAUGGGCCUACGAGUUACGCUUUGUUGCGAGGUUAAGCCGAUAGGUGAAGCCGUAGGGAAACCGAGUCCAAAUAGGGCGAACUUAGUAGCAGGGCGUAGACCCGAAACCGAGCGAUCUAUCCUUGGGCAGGUUGAAGCGUGGGUAAAACUGCGUGGAGGACCGAACCCACUGAAGUUGAAAAUUCAGGGGAUGACCUGAGGAUCGGAGUGAAAGGCUAAUCAAGCUCGGAGAUAGCUGGUUCUCCGCGAAAUAUAUUGAGGUAUAGCGUCUAGUGAAUUGCACCGGAGGUAGAGCACUGGAUGGGCUAGGGGUCCUACCAGAUUACCAAACCCAACCAAACUCCGAAUGCCGGUGACAACUGCUAGGCAGUCAGGCUGCGGGUGAUAAGGUCCGUAGCCAAGAGGGAAAGAGCCCAGAUCGACAGCUAAGGUCCCUAAUCCACACUAAGUGUGAAAGGAUGUGGGGGCGCUCAGACAGCCAGGAGGUUGGCUUAGAAGCAGCCAUCCUUUAAAGAAAGCGUAACAGCUCACUGGUCGAGCGAACCCGCGCCGAAAAUGUAACGGGGCUAAGUGUGGUACCGAAGCUUCGGGUUCUAAUUUAUUAGAGCGGUAGCGGAGCAUUCUCAGGCAGAUACAAGGUGUACCGUAAGGAGCACUGUCGGGCAUGAGAAGAGCUUAUGUAGGCAUGAGUAGCGAUAAAGAGGGUGAGAAACCCUCUCGCCGUAAGCCCAAGGUUUCCCAGGGAAGAAUAAUUCGCCUGUGGGUUAGUCGGCCCCUAAGUGGAGCCCGAAAGGGGUACAUGAUGGGAAGCAGGUUAAUAUUCCUGCACCACUGAGGAAUCCAUUGAUCUAAGCAGGGACGGAGAAGGAUAGGCCGAUCGGGCGAAUGGAAGUGCCCGUUCAAGCAGGUAGGAGGUUUCCGUAGGAGGCGAUAGCCACAAACGCGGAAACAUUACUCCGAGACGUGAUGAGGUGGAGCUCCGGCUCCGUAACUCGGUGAUUCCAUGCUUCCAAGAAAAGCUGCGUAGUGAGGGUCUUCAGUGACCGUACCGCAAACCGACUCAGGUGGGCGGGGUGAGAAUCCCAAGGCGCGUGAGAGAACACUGGCUAAGGAACUCGGCAAAUUGACACCGUAACUUCGGGAGAAGGUGUGCCCGUGUCCGUGACGAGCUUUUCGCUCCGAGCGGGUGUGGGUUGCAGAGAAACGAGGGUUGCGACUGUUUACCAAAAACACAGGACUCUGCGAACUUGUAAGAGGACGUAUAGGGUCUGACGCCUGCCCGGUGCUGGAAGGUUAAGAGGAGUUGUUAGCUUCGGCGAAGCAGUGAAUCGAAGCCCCAGUAAACGGCGGCCGUAACUAUAACGGUCCUAAGGUAGCGA
rnacentral:rRNA from 1 species